rnacentral:rRNA from 1 species
UACCCUACGGGGGGCCGCAGUAGGGAAUCUUCGGCAAUGGGGGCAACCCUGACCGAGCAACGCCGCGUGAGUGAAGAAGGUUUUCGGCUCGUAAAGCUCUGUUGUAAGGCAAGAACGGGUGUGAGAGUGGAAAGUUCACACUGUGACGGUAGCUUACCAGAAAGGGACGGCUAACUACGUGCCAGCAGCCGCGGUAAUACGUAGGUCCCGAGCGUUGUCCGGAUUUAUUGGGCGUAAAGCGAGCGCAGGCGGCUUGAUAAGUCUGGAGUUAAAGGAUGGGGCUCAAC